AAGUUGACUUUCUUAAAUUUGUAUUUACCAUAUUUUGACAUGUAUAAGGAAGCCUUAAUUUUGGGGGCUUAAAAUUUGGAAAAACAGUUUUGUAAGGGAUUAUAACACUAACCAUGUAUAAGAAAACCCCAUAUUUUUUUAAUCCAAUUUUU